GAACGAGUUAACUGAACCUUCGGGGAACGUUAACGGCGUCGAGCGGCGGACGGGUGAGUAAUGCCUGGGAAAUUGCCCUGAUGUGGGGGAUAACCAUUGGAAACGAUGGCUAAUACCGCAUAAUAGCUUCGGCUCAAAGAGGGGGACCUUCGGGCCUCUCGCGUCAGGAUAUGCCCAGGUGGGAUUAGCUAGUUGGUGAGGUAAUGGCUCACCAAGGCGACGAUCCCUAGCUGGUCUGAGAGGAUGAUCAGCCACACUGGAACUGAGACACGGUCCAGACUCCUACGGGAGGCAGCAGUGGGGAAUAUUGCACAAUGGGCGCAAGCCUGAUGCAGCCAUGCCGCGUGUAUGAAGAAGGCCUUCGGGUUGUAAAGUACUUUCAGCAGUGAGGAAGGCAGGUACGUUAAUAGCGUGCUUGUUUGACGUUAGCUGCAGAAGAAGCACCGGCUAACUCCGUGCCAGCAGCCGCGGUAAUACGGAGGGUGCGAGCGUUAAUCGGAAUUACUGGGCGUAAAGCGCAUGCAGGUGGUUUGUUAAGUCAGAUGUGAAAGCCCGGGGCUCAACCUCGGAAUUGCAUUUGAAACUGGCAGACUAGAGUACUGUAGAGGGGGGUAGAAUUUCAUGUGUAGCGGUGAAAUGCGUAGAGAUCUGAAAGGAAUACCGGUGGCGAAAGGCGGGCCCCCUGGACAGAUACUGACACUCAGAUGCGAAAGCGUGGGGAGCAAACAGGAUUAGAUACCC
rnacentral:rRNA from 1 species